rnacentral:rRNA from 1 species
AUUGAACGCUGGCGGCAUGCCUAACACAUGCAAGUCGAACGGAAACAGGACGCUGGGAUCUCUUCGGAGUGAACUUGUCGCUGUCGAGUGGCGGACGGGUGAGUAAUGCAUAGGAAAUUGCCUUGAAGUGGGGGAUAGCCCGGAGAAAUCCGGAUUAAUACCGCAUGCGCUCUACGGAGCAAAGCAGGCCUCUGAUUUAAGCUUGCGCUUUAAGAUAUGCCUAUGUCGGAUUAGCUAGUUGGUAGGGUAAAAGCCUACCAAGGCGACGAUCCGUAGCUGGUUUGAGAGGAUGAUCAGCCACACUGGGACUGAGAUACGGCCCAGACUCCUACGGGAGGCAGCAGUGGGGAAUAUUGGACAAUGGGCGCAAGCCUGAUCCAGCAAUGCCGCGUGUGUGAAGAAGGCCUGCGGGUUGUAAAGCACUUUUAUCGGGAAAGAAAAUCUCAGGGUUAAUACCCCUGGGCCUUGACGGUACCCGAAGAAUAAGCACCGGCUAACUCAGUGCCAGCAGCCGCGGUAAUACUGAGGGUGCAAGCGUUAAUCGGAAUUACUGGGCGUAAAGCGAGUGUAGGCGGCUUCGUAAGUCGGAUGUGAAAGCCCCGGGCUCAACCUGGGAAUUGCAUUCGAUACUGCGCGGCUAGAGUCUGAUAGAGGGAAGUGGAAUUCCCGGUGUAGCGGUGAAAUGCGUAGAGAUCUGGAGGAACACC